AGAGUUUGAUCCUGGCUCAGGACGAACGCUGGCGGCGUGCCUAAUACAUGCAAGUCGAGCGGGACUCUUCGGAGUCCAGCGGCGGACGGGUGAGUAACACGUGGGCAACCUGCCUGUAAGACUGGGAUAACACCGGGAAACCGGUGCUAAUACCGGAUGACACUUUGGAACUCCUGUUCCUUAGUUGAAAGAUGGCCUCG
rnacentral:rRNA from 1 species